ACCUUCAGCUCAAGCAAGAGUACCCGCUGAACUUAAGCAUAUCAAUAAGCGGAGGAAAAGAAACUAACAAGGAUUCCCCUAGUAACGGCGAGUGAAGAGGGAAAAGCUCAAAUUUUAAAUCUACCUGGUUCCCAGGUCGAGUUGUAAUUUGAAGAAGCGAUAUCGGUGUUGAGGUCUGGUUUAAGUUCUUUGGAACAAGACAUCAUGGAGGGUGAGAAUCCCGUGCAUGAUCAGACCAAGAUACUAAGUAUACGCUUUCCAAGAGUCGAGUUGUUUGGGAAUGCAGCUCAAAAUGGGUGGUAGACUUCACCUAAGGCUAAAUAUCAGCGAGAGACCGAUAGCGAACAAGUACUGUGAAGGAAAGAUGAAAAGAACUUUGAAAAGAGAGUUAAAUAGUACGUGAAAUUGUUGAAAGGGAAACGAUUGAAGUCAGUCAUGCCAGUGAAAACACAGUUUGGCGGAUUUUUCAAGUUCAAGAGUAAAGGCAGGGUCAAACCGUCUCUCUUUUGGACUUGGAAUUUGCCAGAUGGAAUUUUUCUCUGGCAGGUCAGCGUCGGUUUCGGGGGGUUGUAAAAUACUUGGGGUAAAGUAGCUCUGCUUUGGGAGAGUGUUAUAGACCUUGGGGGAUGCAGCCCGCGGGAUCGAGGAUUGCAGCAAAUGCUUUCGGGCUUGUCGCCUGAUCUCUGGAUGUUACCUUGCUUGUGACAACAUUCUUGCCACCUGCGAGUACUAAUGCUCAUUAGGUUAGAGCGAUCAAAAAUUUUGCUAAGGAUGCUGACGUAAUGGCUUUAAACGACCCGUCUUGAAACACGGACCAAGGAGUCUAACAUAUGUNCGAGUGUUU
rnacentral:rRNA from 1 species